rnacentral:lncRNA from 1 species
CCUAAAGUCACUUCCCCGCGUUUAUGGAGCAGGGUGAGGAGGGGAGUUGGAACAAGCACCCAUAAAUACAGAGAAACCUCCAUGUAACAGAAGUAACAUUGAGAGGGAAGUCAAUAGCAGGUCCUGUAACAAACAGCUCUUAUCAAGCCUGGUCGGUCUGAUUUACCCCUUGGAGCAAUCAGUGGAUCAGUUCCUGUUGGCUGGCUGUACAGGGAAAGGGCUAAGGCCAGCAGCCGUCCGGAGACGAAGCUGGACGACCUUGCAUCCUCUGCUCUGCUGCUUGUCACAACAGAUGAGAGACGCGGAAGGGAGGGAUGUGGCUGGAUGACAUAACAGAACACCAGAGCUUAAGAGAGAGUGUGUUAGAGAGAAGAAAUAAACUGUGUAAGCUGCCAGCA